rnacentral:lncRNA from 1 species
CCUCAGACUGUUUGGAGACAAAAUUGGCCGAUGACGAUGAGGAGACAUUAGCCGAUUGUGACAGCCCCACAGCAAUUAAUUUCCCGUUAUGAGUAGGGGAAAAUUUAACAGCAUUAAAUCGGUCAAAGCAAUUCAAUGCCCCAUGCCCUUUUUUAUUACAGAUUUGGCAUGGGUUAUUUCUCACGCCCAUAUUUCCAGAAUUUCUAGAUCUUUCAUAUCCGCGAUCUCCAGAUUUCGCGAUGUGGGCAGGAGCGCCCGAUUUCGCAUCCGCGACGUUGGCAAAGAGGGGGGAUAGCACCGAUUGAUUUUCCUCCGACUGGCGCAACUCCAAGUCUGUGAGCACGCCUGAAGGUCGACGAAGGUCAUAUUGGCGUCGAAUCGGGUGAUGAUCGAGUGGACAAACGCCGAGUGCUCUGGCCCCAAUCCUCCGACCGCUGUGAUGAUCUUGUCGGCUUCGGUGACUUUCUUUCCCACCAUCUGCAACUCGUCUAUCAUUGAUUUCACAUAUGCGAUGUAGGAAGCCAUCGAUAUUCCCCCUUUCUUUACUGUCAAGAAUUGACGUCGGAGAAAUAGGAUCCGCGUGACUGAUCCAGAUGAAUACAAGGUCGCCAAGGCUUUCCACACUUCAACGGAUGUGGUUAGACUCGCCACUUGCGACAGGAUAUUUGGCGACAGAGCUUGGAAUAACCAUCUCAAGAGCAACUGUUGUCGCCUACACAUCGGUGAGUUGUUUAACUCAACUUCACCUUCCACAUACUUCAAUAAAUCUGUGCCGAUUAAAACACAGCCACACAGGUGGCCUGAGCCUUCCACGAGACGUAAUUGUCUUUGUUGAGGGUGACGAAGGAUAACUUCUUCACAUGAAAAGCCGGUUCCCCACGAGUGACGGAUCCAUCAGAGUUUGUGAAAGCAUCGGUACCUGACGAUGAUACCAUGAUAGGAAAUGGGAGGAGAUGAAUUGUAUAAGACGAUGGAAGAAUAAGAAGAAUGAAAUGUGUAAUGGAACCGUGGUCCCAACUUCAUUUAUAAUACUCAAAAGUAAAUGUUAACAACCCACUACUUUCCUAACUAAUUCUGUUUUGUACAAUAUUCUCUAAUUCAUACUAACAGUGUUGAAUGUUUCUUGGAUCUUGAGAUUAACAAACAAACAAAAG